rnacentral:lncRNA from 1 species
AGGGUGUCUCUGGAAGAUACUUGAAUCACAGGACUGAAUAAGGAAGAGCUGCCCUCAGCGUGGCCGGGCAACAUCUAAUCGGCUGAAAGCUUGGAUCGAAUGAAAAGGCAGAGGAAAGGUGAAUUUUCUUUUUAUCCUGGAGCUGGACACCCUGUUUCUCCUGCCUGUGGACAUCAGAAUUCUAGGCUCUGUGGCAUUUCAACUGUAAAACUUGCACUAGUAGCCAGCUGGUUUCUCAAGUCGUUGGCUUCAAAACUGAGAAGUACAGCAUUCUCUUCCCAGGUUCUGAAGACCUCAAAUGGACUGAGCCACACUACCAGCAUCCAGCAUCCAUGGUUCUCCAGUCUGCAGAUGGCCUAUUAUGGGACUUUUCAGUCUUCAUAAUUAUAUGAGAGAAAGAAAAUGAAAAGGAUUUGUAAACUAUAAAUCUCUAAACAGAUGGGAGGAAAGGAAUUGAUGAAACAAUAAAUUUAUUGAUGAAACAAUAAAAAUAAACAUAAAGAACCAAAGUUAUUCUCACAAUCACCACUCCUAACUUUUGAUGCUCCUGUCCAGAAAACUGAGCAAAAGAGUGGCUGAAGAAUAGGAAUGAUGAAGAGAAGAAGUAAAAACACCUGCUGCUCCCUGUUAGGCUCUGUCACUGUAGGGGUGUGUAAAAGAGACUGAAUAGCAGAAAGAAGGAGAGAAGACUUGCUCUUUCCUGGUCACUUUCUGUGGGAUUUCUGGUGCCGUGAAAGUCACCCCAGCCUCCCUCUUCUUCACUCCAGCAGAUGCACUUCUUUCCCAUGUCAGAAUAAAUCCAGUUUUCAGCUUUCCAGUACUCAUAGAACCAGCCUCAUUGCAUUCCUCUCAGAGACACCAGCACCAGCUGUCCA